rnacentral:rRNA from 1 species
GACGAACGCUGGCGGCGUGCUUAACACAUGCAAGUCGAACGGAAAGGCCCUGCUUUUGUGGGGUGCUCGAGUGGCGAACGGGUGAGUAACACGUGAGUAACCUGCCCUUGACUUUGGGAUAACUUCAGGAAACUGGGGCUAAUACCGGAUAGGAGCUCCAGCUGCAUGGUGGGGGUUGGAAAGUUUCGGCGGUUGGGGAUGGACUCGCGGCUUAUCAGCUUGUUGGUGGGGUAGUGGCUUACCAAGGCUUUGACGGGUAGCCGGCCUGAGAGGGUGACCGGCCACAUUGGGACUGAGAUACGGCCCAGACUCCUACGGGAGGCAGCAGUGGGGAAUAUUGCACAAUGGGCGGAAGCCUGAUGAAGCAACGCCGCGUGCGGGAUGACGGCCUUCGGGUUGUAAACCGCUUUCGCCUGUGACGAAGCGUGAGUGACGGUAAUGGGUAAAGAAGCACCGGCUAACUACGUG